GGCCGGCCCCUGGGAGAUGAGGGGCCCACCAGGUCCAGAAAGUGGCAGAGCUGGUGGCUUGGCCAGCAGGAAGCCAUGCUCGUGACGUGUACCCAGGAACAUGGCCACAGCGCUGUGGGAGCACGCAGGAGCGGACUGUACUCUUUGGAAGGAAGUUACUAUGCACAGACGAGACUUAAAGAGUGGAGAUUUACGCUCACUUGAGGGUAAAGUACAAAUCAUUGGGAAUUCUUCUGUGUGGGAGAUUUAUGGAUUUGUUUAUAAGUUUAAUUUUUUAUUUUAAUCAUAUAUAUGAUUAAAUAUAUGUGUGUGUGUGUAUAUAUAUAUAUAUAUAGAGAGAGAGAGAGAGGGAGAGAGAGGGAGAGGGAGCUGUAAGACUUAUUAAGGAAACAGAGCAGUCCUUUGCCUCAUACCCAGUUAAACUCCUCAUCAGGUCUGUUCUUAUCUCUCAGUGCUGAUCUAAGGAUAUUCCCUAAAUGCACCCCACCCCUCCAGACACCUGAGUAUUUGGUUUUAGGUGUUUGCUCCCUCCAGACUGGCUUCUUCCCUGGUACCCCUCCCCUUGCCAGGAUCAGGGCCCCUCCUGAUCAGGGCCCCUCCCUCUUGAUCAGGGCCCCUCCCUCAGCCCUCUGUGCUGAUCACCCCACAUUAUGAUCUCCCUGCAUUACAACUGCCUAGAACUCCUCUCUCUCUUUCUUUCUCUCUCCCUCUCUUCUCCCCCGCAACCUCUCUCUCCUCUUCCUCAAUCCCCUCCUUCCCCUCCCCCCUCUUCUUCCUCCCCCUCCCACUCUUUUCCCUUCCCUCCCCCUCCCUGGGCCAACUGUGUACAGUAUAAGCUCGCUGAAGGCAGUGACAGGUGACUUGCAGACCUCCUCCUGCCACAGGGCUGGCACAUUGUUGGCUUCUGCUAAAAUAUGCUGAAAGAAAGAAGGUCCUUGGCUCACUCAGAACACCUCUUUACAACCCUUUGUAAGAGGUAAAUUUCUUCUUCUUCCUGUUUGAUUCCCUUCCAGAUGUUUCCAAAUCUACCUAAAAUAGUCCCAUUUCUCAAAAAGCCUUCUCCCCUCCCUGUUACUGUCAUUCCUUCUCUCACUGAGUGACAAAGCCCUGCCCAAGGCAUGUAUAGACUCAGCCUGCCCUCUUUCUUCCCACCACCUUCCAGGGUUGUGAAGACCCCAGAGAAGCCACUGGGUGAGAGGGGAUAGGACACUUUUUUCACCUCUCUAGGUGGGAAAUGAAGGCAUCCUCAGGUCAGUGGUCCUAAACUGGGGUUCACAGGUCCUUAGGGGUAUGGAAGGCAUCCUCAGGUCAGCGGUCCUCACACUGGGGUUCACAGGUCCCAAGGAGAGCACACCAAAUAGUUUUAAGGGAAUAAGUGUCCAGAGUUUCCCUGGGCCAAAAGUGACCAUCAGGAGACGGCCCCUGGGAGCAAGGUCUUAU